GGGGAUUUAGCUCAGCGGCAUAAGCGCCUGCCUUGAAAGCAGGCAGUCCUGAGUUCGAUCCCUGGUACCCA
rnacentral:tRNA from 1 species